UACGUAGGUGACAAGCGUUGUCCGGAUUUACUGGGCGUAAAGAGCGCGCAGGCGGUCGUUCAAGUCGCGUGUGAAAGCCCCCGGCUCAACUGGGGAGGGUCACGCGAUACUGAUCGACUCGAAGGCAGGAGAGGGUAGUGGAAUUCCUGGUGUAGCGGUGAAAUGCGCAGAUAUCAGGAGGAACACCGGUGGCGAAGGCGGGUCUCUGGGCCGAAACUGACGCUGAGGAGCGAAAGCGUGGGGGAGCGAACAGG
rnacentral:rRNA from 1 species